AACCAGUGCCUUAGUAGCAGCUGAGUCCUUAUCACCCCCUGGAUCCGUAGGAACUAGGGGAGAACAGUUUCUGGAGGUCAUACCAUCAUUCUAAAUACAGCUGGAGCUACCGCCAACACAUCUGCAUUUCAGGCGGGAAGCCAGAAGAGAGACAGGAAGGACAAAAAGACUUUGUCAAAAGUUCCAUCCAAUGAUUGCUCCUUAUCGAUCACAGUUAUCUGCAAGGGAAGCGGGGAAAUGUAAUUUUUCAUCGCAAACAAUAAUCCCAGAUCCUGUUAGUAAGAAAGAAGAGAAAGGAUACUGGUUAAGCCUUGAGCUGUCACUGCCAUAACACACUUCUACCAAAUUGUCAUCCAGCUUCUGGACGAUCUUCUCCAGUGACAGAAAAAUCUGCCGCAACCAAAAGCAAACCAAUUUAAUAGCAGACUGACUUUUUCCUAUGUCUACCUGAAAUCUGCCUUCGUGAUACUCCUACCCAGUCACUAGUUCUGCCCUAUGGCAUUGAUGAGAACAAAUAGUCUUCCUCCUCUACAUUUGCCCUUCAGAUACCUAAAAACACAUUUUUCCAAAACUUCC